CUGGGCGCUGCCCCAGAGAUACAGCAGGGAUCCACUUAGCAGCCUCCUCAGUGCCUUGGAAAACCAUUAUAAAAAGAAAUCCUCCAACCUUGUUCAAUAAAGGUAAGGAGGCAAUUAGCAGAGAAGUGGAGCAGACAGGGCUGAAUGUCUUUUCCCUACAGGACCUCCAGGGCUGAAACACGACAACAAAAACACACAGAGAGGAUCCCACCCACCCACUCCAAAAUUACACCUACAAAACAAAGCAACCCAAGGAAGGGGGACAAGAAGAAGAAAAUGAAGUCUCAGGUUAUCCGGGAGUGAGCUGGAGAAACUCCUUCCCGGAGACACAGUUUCUCCUUUGAAGAGGCAAAGAUUCCUUCCACAAGGACUGCCCACCAUAAGGACUGGCUGACAGAAUUCUGGAGCUCUAGGCUAAGUGAGCAGUACCUCUCAAGAACUCAUUGCGUAUUCAGGUGUGCUCUGCUUCUGUAGCUCUCAAGAACUUAUUGUGUAUUCCAGUGAGCUGUGCUUUCAAGAUGGACAGACACAAUCCACUCUUGGAUAACUUAAAUCCCCAGGCCCAGACCCCUCAAGUUACAAAGGAUUUCAGAAAUUCACCUGAUCCUUCCUUCCCCCUGGAACUCUGAGGAGAACUUCACCUAAACCACUCCAGAAAGAUGGACCCUUACUGAUGAGUGAAGUGAGCAGAACCAGGAGAACAUUGUACACAGUUAACAGCCAUGCUGUGU